rnacentral:lncRNA from 1 species
UUGACAGUGGAUUUGCAGACCAAAGCAUACCUGCCAGGGAACUUCCACCCUCCAGGGUUUGCCCAGAACUCUCAGCUACCAGACUAUGGAAAUGAUGUUAAACAAAAAACAAUUCGAGUUCAAAAUGGUUGUAAAGCAGCGCAGACAACUCGCAACAUCAACAACACAUUCAGCCCAGGAACUGCUAAUGAACUUACAGUGCAGUGGUACUUGAAGUUUUGCAAAGGAGAGGAGAGCCUUGAAGAUGAGGAGCACAGUGGUCGGUCAUUGAAAGUUGACAUCGACCAAUUGAGAGCAAUCAUCAAAGCUGAUUCUCUUACAACUGCAGGAGAAGUUGUGGAAAAACUUAACGUUGACCAUUCUAGGGUUGUUCCGCAUUUGAAGCAAACAGGAAAGGUGAAAAAGCUCGAUAAGUUGGGUGCCUCAUGAGCUGAGAAAAAUUAAAGAAAAACAUCAUUUUCAAGUGUCGUCUUUUCUUAUUGUACACAUAAACAACGAACUAUUUCUCAGAUUAUUUCGUGGGACAAAAAGUGGAUUUUGCACGACAACCAACAAUUACCAGCUCAGUAGAUGGACCUAGAAGAAGUCCCAAAGCUAAACUUGCACCAAAAAAAGGUCAUGGUCACUGUUUGGUGGCCUGCUGCCAGUCUGAUCCACUACAGCUUUCUGAACCCCAGCGAAACCAUUACAUCAGAGAAGUAUGCUCAGCAAAUGGAUGAGAUGCACUGAAAACUGCAAAGACUGCAGCCAUGACAACACUAGACAACACUAGAUGUAUAGGCAAUUCUGCAGUUACAAACAAGAUGGAUACAUAGUCUGCUUCCUUUAGCCUAGAGAAGUCUCGGGUCUGUUUCCACUCAGUCACCAUCUAAUUCUUACCAGAGCCAUUCACAGACACAAGUGUGAGCACAUAUCAGUCAGGACCUGCAUAAAGGCCUGCGGAGGUGGAACGGGAAAGCCACACCCUUGAAAGGCACUCUUCUCCAUGACAACACUAGACCACCCAUCGCACAACCAACACUUUAAAAGUUGAACAAAUUGGGCUAUGAAGUUUUGCCUCAUCCACCAUAUUCACUUGACCUCUCACCCACUGACUACCGAUUCCACAGCAUUUUGCAGGGAAAAUGCUUCCAAAGCCGGCAGGAUGCAGAAAAUGCUUUCCAAGAGUUCAUCGAAUCCAGAAACAUGGAUUUUUAUGCUGCAGGAAGAAACAAACAUUUCUC